CGGCGGACGGGUGAGUAAUACGUGGAUAACCUACCUAUAAGACUGGGAUAACUUCGGGAAACCGGAGCUAAUACCGGAUAAUAUAUUGAACCGCAUGGUUCAAUGGUGAAAGACGGUUUUGCUGUCACUUAUAGAUGGAUCCGCGCCGCAUUAGCUAGUUGGUAAGGUAACGGCUUACCAAGGCAACGAUGCGUAGCCGACCUGAGAGGGUGAUCGGCCACACUGGAACUGAGACACGGUCCAGACUCCUACGGGAGGCAGCAGUC
rnacentral:rRNA from 1 species